rnacentral:snRNA from 1 species
GUGCUCGCUUCAGCGGCACAUAUACUAAAAUUGGAAUGAUAGCAUGGCCCCUGCGCAAGGAUGACAUGCAAAUUUGUGAAGUGUUCCAUAUUUCA